UACGGAGGGAGCUAGCGUUGUUCGGAAUUACUGGGCGUAAAGCGCACGUAGGCGGCUUUGUAAGUUAGAGGUGAAAGCCCGGGGCUCAACUCCGGAACUGCCUUUAAGACUGCAUCGCUUGAAUCCAGGAGAGGUGAGUGGAAUUCCGAGUGUAGAGGUGAAAUUCGUAGAUAUUCGGAAGAACACCAGUGGCGAAGGCGGCUC
rnacentral:rRNA from 1 species